rnacentral:rRNA from 1 species
AUUGAACGCUGGCGACAUGCCUUACACAUGCAAGUCGAACGGCAGCACGGGUGCUUGCACCUGGUGGCGAGUGGCGAACGGGUGAGUAAUACAUCGGAACAUGUCCUGUAGUGGGGGAUAGCCCGGCGAAAGCCGGAUUAAUACCGCAUACGAUCCACGGAUGAAAGCGGGGGACCUUCGGGCCUCGCGCUAUAGGGUUGGCCGAUGGCUGAUUAGCUAGUUGGUGGGGUAAAGGCCUACCAAGGCGACGAUCAGUAGCUGGUCUGAGAGGACGACCAGCCACACUGGGACUGAGACACGGCCCAGACUCCUACGGGAGGCAGCAGUGGGGAAUUUUGGACAAUGGGCGAAAGCCUGAUCCAGCAAUGCCGCGUGUGUGAAGAAGGCCUUCGGGUUGUAAAGCACUUUUGUCCGGAAAGAAAUCCUUGACUCUAAUACAGUCGGGGGAUGACGGUACCGGAAGAAUAAGCACCGGCUAACUACGUG